UUCUUCCCGUGAAAACGCGAACGAACGUCGGAUGAUAUAGAGGAGAAAGAAACGCGAGGCCGCGAGAUAGCAGCGUCGAUUAAUCGCGCGGAAUUAAAGUUUUCCCUACGAAUUAUCUCGCACUAAACACACGUUACUCGAUUUCAUACCGGAUAAUCGAUCUCUCCUUCGAUUAAUCCAGUUUCCUCGCUCCACCAUCGAUCCUUGAUGUCCGAUCGGUGCAGGCCAACACUCGCGUCGAUUGACACGCGGCGUGGCACGAUCGAGGCCCAACGCAUCGAUCGAACGUAGUAGAUCGCGCUCGUUAAAUCCGUUAUUGCUAAUCGGCCGAUCGGAUCGGCGUGAUCGACGCAGAUGAGUUACGAAGUUAAGUCCACCGCUGCGGGCAUCGCAGGAUCGUGCACACACGCAGGAGCAUCGUCGAUCAGUUCUUUUUUGCGACCCUGGAUUGCAGCAGGCUGCGACCUCGAGAGAAAAAGUGACUGGAGCAUAAUUUAGAACGGCGAAAAGAGAUCACGAGAUUCCAUGAUCUCCCAAUUAAUUCGCCGGUUAUCUCGGAAAGACCGAGCUAGGAAAAAGCAAGAGGAAAACGAGAGGAAGACAGGAUGUUUCGGCUGACAGAUAACGCGAUCGCUGCUACGACUUUCUAAUCGCGUUCUCGUGGACAGGGUUGGCAACCGUGGAGAUCCUUGCUCCCGGCCAGAUCCCGGAUCUUAUCACGUAGCGGUGUGUCGACGGUAUCGCGUUGACGAGCCAAAAAAUAUAGUCGAUAUAGAGAGGCAGCGAGACGCACGCGGGGAGAUCGAUCGUAACGGGCGUGCACCGUUUCGCGGUCGAUCGUCGAAGGGCGGGAAAGCCUGUUUCGAAAAGGCUGUCACUCAGUUUACGCGAUCAGGAGUUCGAAACCGGUUCGAACGGGCGUUCUGGGUUCGGUUCUGGCCGCGGAGAUCGAACGCACACUGGCAACAGCAACACCGGCAGCACCAACAGCAGCAUCUCUGGCGUAACGGAAGCCGCAAUAGCCGCAUGGAUUCUUGUUUUCGCGUUGCUUCUCCAUUUUUUCUCUCUCGUUCUCUCUAUCACGGUACGCGUUCGGUUCUCCUCCGUUUAUAUCUUUCCCUCUCUGUUCGACUCUGCCGCUUCUCUCCUCUCUCUUUUUCUCCCUACCUUCAUCUCUUUCGUUCUCCUUUUCCCCUCCCCCUCCCGUUUUUCCUAUUUUUUCCUAUUUUUUUUUCUUCUCUUUCUGUUUCCUCUUUUUUUUUUUAUUAUUAUUUUUCCUCGUGUUGCUUCCCUUUGCGCGCAAGCUCGUGCAUAUACGCAUCGGCGGGCGUAGCUCUGCUGCCCGCUCCCUGAUAAAAUCCCACAAAAAUCGAGAAGCCGUUAGCUCUCCGGCUAGCUAUGGUAACCGAGAGGUGGAACCGGUGCUCAAUAUAGAUUCAGGGAGCAGCCUUUACACGGAGUGCAUUCGACGGGAGUCGUUGUUAAUGCUAAAUGAAUUUUAAUCCUCGAUUUUUGGACGUUCGACGGAACGCCCUUUCGACCCACCUCGAUCUCAUCCUCCUCCUCCUCCUCCUCCCUUCUACCCCUCCGCCUAUUUUCUCUCCUUCCCUCUUCGCCACGAUGCCCUUCCAACCUCCCCCUCCCCCUCCACCCACUAUUUUGGAUCCGAUAGAACCCUGGGAUAUGCGAGUAAUUAAAAUAUUAACUAAUCUGCAAUUCCGGAUGGAAAAUCGUGCACAGUGCAUGAACGACCCUGGUGAGUCGAUUGAAUAUUCUUGAUACAUAUUUCGCGGACCUGUCGAUUUCGCAUCUGAUUACCAGGUGCCAGGAUGUUUUAUGUAUAGCAGUUUCCUGUAUAGGGUGUUGCGUUCAAAGCAUUACAGUUUAACCCCUCGCCAUACGAUUUGUUUAAUAGCUAUUUAAGUAGGUUUAAUAGCUAUUUAAGCAAGCUAUUCGGUGUUAUUACAUCGUGUUAAAUAAAGAAUAUCGAAGCAUUAUACAGAAGUUAUGUUUAAUAACUCUUGGCUUCGAGAAGUGCAGUUCAAAUUAUAUUUCACGUUGAUCUUUCUUUUAUAUACACCUUAUCCGUGUUAAAUUGAAACCAUAAUUCGUACUACGGGUUACGUUAGACAUUACAAUACACAGACACGCACAGAUACGCGUAUUUAGGCAGGCAACUAAUAUAUUGUAAAACAAGAUUAUCGAAUUACAAUGAUUAAUAAAAGUGUUACUAGUUAUUUACCAAUUACUUUACUAAUUUUUAUUAUCACGAUGCUCUAGCGACGAAUCUUAAAUUUUAAACGCUUACUCUACGUCAGUUACUGCAUAUCGAUUUCUUCGUACGGGAUGAAACUGAGUAUCGAAACGAAUGUGAAGCAAUGCUGAGCGUGCCGUCAUAUUAUAUUAUUACGAGUCACCGUGUAUAUUAUAUGUAUAAUCACUCAGCAGCAGUAGUCCGUAACACUUUUAAUUUCCCAGCUUGUAUAUGUAAUAAUAGGUUCAAGGGUUUGACGACGCCGAAAAAAGAGCAAACGGACGUGGUUUCCUGGCGGGGAUCGUCUCAAGGGGGCGGCACCGCGCCGCGGCGUGGGUAUUUUUUUUUAACACGCGCGUCAAUUUCGUUUCGCGCAAAUUUUUUCGCCGCUGUACGUACGCGUCGGGCGCGCGUAGUACAUGUACGUACGCGGCAGAGAGACGAGGCAAGUUCGACACGGCAACGGGAGAGAAUGCAUAAGCACGAGGCACGAGUCCAGGCAAGUCGGUUGUGCUCUACGCUUAAACGCGAAAGAAGAGGGCUGCCAAUAGUUGGUUCGCCGGUACAUUCCCGCUCUACAAAGUUAAUUACGUGGCUGACGCUCGUUAGCGAAAAAAUCCAAAGGCGAUAAAUCAUAGUGAUAACUGAAAUACAUUUCUGCUCUGCUAAGCUGGUGGCCGUGGCCGCUGCACAACGAGAACCGAGAAGAAAGAGGAGAAAGGAUGAAACGGGAGGAAAAAAGAAUAGGAAGAAGGAGAAGAAGAAGAGGAGGAGGAGGAAGGUAAAAACGUACGAAGAGCAAAGAAGCAACACCGCCAAUUACUUUCCAACCGACUACUCGAUAAUAUCGUCCCGCGAGCACCGAUACACAACGACCAUUAAUAUUCUAAACGCAAGCCCCGUGUACGCAGCUCGUGUUCUCGAUCCACGCUCGGAUCUGUCUUGGAACGUAAAGCAGAUCCGGCCGGCACGAAUCGUUCGUGUACCACCGGAAAGCCCCCGAGUUAUAACAGUUUACUACGCGGACGAACCACUGGAUUCGAGAUAGUUAGACGCGCGAGCCUAACAAUUUGCGCGCGAUAUCAUAGAUGCCACGCCGGACCACCGUUACAUCCCGUGCUUUACCUACGAUCGCGCUUUUUUAUGUCAUCCUUGGCCAAUUUUUAGAGAAUAGAACGAUUCCCGUUGAACAACCUUCGUCGUCGUGAAUUCUCUAUUUGAUAAGGUAACGAAGGGAAAUGUACGCAAUUAGCGUAGUGUUGGGAAAGCGACGAUGCAACUUUGCAUCGGAGAAGCGUACGUUUUUAGAAGCGAGACAACGGGAAAAUUGGUACAAACGAUUCUGAUAUUUGAAAACAUACAGAUUUUCGUAAUAAAGUUGAAGUUUAGCGGCAAUUUUCCAACUUAGAGACUUUGUCACCCGUACAAAUAUAAUAAAAGUACAAAAUGAUUUGGAGCGUGGCUCGUUAAAUCUGCAUCGACCACGACAAAACAUCCGAUGCAACUGGCAAGCAAAGCAUGCCAAAUUAAUCAUGAAAGCUCAGGAAUCUGGCGUAACAAAUUCAAAUACAGAAACACGUAUAUCAAUUACACGAUCGAGGCAUAGGCUAACGAAGUCCGUGACGGGGAUACGAACUGCAAGGUACGAAAAAUAUCGCCAGAGAGACGAAGGGUUAAAGCGGAAAGAGAGGAGGGAGAGAGUGAGAGAGAGUGAGAGGUUCGGCGAAAGACGAAUAAAGUGACAGAGAGGGCUGAAAGAGAGGGGAGAGGAGAGUGACGUUUCGUGAGAUAAAGGUGAAGGGAGAGAGGGGUGGCAGAGAAGAUAUUCUUGGCAGCGACUGCGAUGCAACAACUGUCCCCAUCCGUCAUCUACGGAGGCAGCGAGAGAGGCCCACGACCACUCGAUGCGUCCCUAGCCGUGCUCUUCAAAUCACGAGAGGGGAAAACUUCUCGUAAUCAUCGAGAUCUCGACUAACGACACCGACAGUCGACUCAUUACGUCGUUAUCGUCGAAAGAAUCUCCGUGGAUCCGCGAGGAAACGGCCCAAACUGUUCGUUUUUCAAAAGUCUUCGAAAUAUUCCGACUCAUUUCACUUUAUGAUAUUAGAUUUCCUUUAUUACACGGUGUAGAAGACAUAGUUCGUUAGAAGAAUAAAAUCUAAAGACUCGUU